rnacentral:rRNA from 1 species
GGCAGCAGUGGGGAAUCUUCCGCAAUGGGCGCAAGCCUGACGGAGCAACGCCGCGUGAGUGAAGAAGGCCUUCGGGUUGUAAAACUCUGUCAUCAGGGAAGAAGAAAGUGACGGUACCUGAGGAGGAAGCCCCGGCUAACUACGUGCCAGCAGCCGCGGUAAAACGUAGGGGGCGAGCGUUGUCCGGAAUUACUGGGCGUAAAGGGCGCGUAGGCGGUUAUCCAAGUCAGGGGUGAAAACCUUGGGCUCAACUCAGGGCCUGCCUCUGAAACUGGGUAACUUGAGGGCAGGAGAGGGGAGUGGAAUUCCCAGUGUAGCGGUGAAAUGCGUAGAUAUUGAGAGGAACACCAGUGGCGAAGGCGGCUCUCUGGCCUAACCCUGACGCUGAGGCGCGAAAGCGUGGGGAUCAAACAGGAUUAGAUACCCUGGUAGUCCACGCCGUAAACGAUGAGUGCUAAGUGU